GCGACCCCGGGUCAGGCGGGAUUACCCGCUG
rnacentral:rRNA from 1 species